AUCAUCGAAUCUUUGAACGCAUAUUGCGCCCUCUGGUAUUCCGGAGGGCAUGCCUGUUUGAGCGUCAUUUCCUUCUCAUAUCCCUAGGAUGUGGUGAUGAGCGAUACUUUCGUAAGAAAGUUCGUUUGAAAUGAAUUGGCACGAGUCUUUCGACAGAUUGAUGCUAUGUUUUCAAUGUAUUAGGUUUACACCAUCGUUGAUUGUAGUAUUGGGCUGUUGAAGUUAUGGGCUUUGCUUUACAAACUUUACCUUAAAGUUUGACCUCAAAUCAGGUAGGAUUACCCGCUGAACUUAAGCAUAUCAAUAAGCGGAGGAAAAGAAACCAACAGGGAUUGCCUUAGUAGCGGCGAGUGAAGCGGCAAGAGCUCAAAUUUGAAAUCUGGUACUUUCAGUAUCCGAGUUGUAAUUUGAAGAAAGUUAUCUUGGAGUUGGCCCUUGUCUAUGUUCCUUGGAACAGGACGUCACAGAGGGUGAGAAUCCCGUGCGAUGGGGUGCCCAUUCUAUGUAAGAUACUUUCGACGAGUCGAGUUGUUUGGGAAUGCAGCUCUAAGUGGGUGGUAAAUUCCAUCUAAAGCUAAAUAUUGGCGAGAGACCGAUAGCGAACAAGUACAGUGAUGGAAAGAUGAAAAGAACUUUGAAAAGAGAGUGAAAAAGUACGUGAAAUUGUUGAAAGGGAAGGGUAUUUGAUCAGACUGAUAUUCAGUUAACACUGUUCCUUGUGGAUGGUGCUCUAGCUUUUUAUUGGGCCAGCAUCAGUUUAGGUGGCAGGAUAAGAACUGUUGAACGUGGCUCUUCGGAGUGUUAUAGCUUCAGUUGAUACUGCCUAUCUAGACUGAGGUCUGCGGCUUUGCCUAGGAUGCUGGCGUAAUGGUCUAAUACCGCCCGUCUUGAAACAUGGACCAAGGAGUCUAACGUCUAUGCGAGUGUUUGGGUGUAAAACCCGUACGCGUAAUGAAAGUGAACGUAGGUGAGGGCUUUAGGGUGCAUCAUCGACCGAUCCUGAUGUUUUCGGAUGGAUUUGAGUAAGAGCAUAGCUGUUGGGACCCGAAAGAUGGUGAACUAUGCCUGAAUAGGGUGAAGCCAGAGGAAACUCUGGUGGAGGCUCGUAGCGGUUCUGACGUGCAAAUCGAUCGUCAAAUUUGGGUAUAGGGGCGAAAGACUAAUCGAACCAUCUAGUAGCUGGUUCCUGCCGAAGUUUCCCUCAGGAUAGCAGAAGCUCGUAUCAGUUUUAUGAGGUAAAGCGAAUGAUUAGAGGUCUUGGGGACGAAAUGUCCUUAACCUAUUCUCAAACUUUAAAUAUGUAAGAAGUCCUUGUUGCUUAAUUGAACGUGGACAUUUGAAUGAAGAGCUUUUAGUGGGCCAUUUUUGGUAAGCAGAACUGGCGAUGCGGGAUGAACCGAACGUAAAGUUAAGGUGCCAGAAUACACGCUCAUCAGACACCACAAAAGGUGUUAGUUCAUCUAGACAGCCGGACGGUGGCCAUGGAAGUCGGAAUCCGCUAAGGAGUGUGUAACAACUCACCGGCCGAAUGAACUAGCCCUGAAAAUGGAUGGCGCUCAAGCGUGUUACCUAUACUUUACCGUCAUGGUUGAUUUGAUGCCAUGACGAGUAGGCAGGCGUGGAGGUCAGUGACGAAGCC
rnacentral:rRNA from 1 species